GAGUUUGAUCCUGGCUCAGGAUAAACGCUGGCGGCGCGCCUUAACACAUGCAAGUCGCACGAGAAAGGGGAGCAAUCCCUGAGUAAAGUGGCGUACGGGUGAGUAACACAUGGGUAAUCCACCCUUUAGUGGGGAAUAACCCUGGGAAACCGGGGCUAAUACCGCAUAAGCCUGAGAAGGGAAAGCAGCAAUGCGCUGAAGGAGGAGCCCGCGGCCGAUUAGCUAGUUGGUGAGGUAACGGCCCACCAAGGCGAUGAUCGGUAGCCGGCCUGAGAGGGCACACGGCCACACUGGCACUGAAACACGGGCCAGACUCCUACGGGAGGCAGCAGUGGGGAAUCUUGCACAAUGGAGGAAACUCUGAUGCAGCGACGCCGCGUGAGCGAUGAAGCCCUUCGG
rnacentral:rRNA from 1 species